rnacentral:rRNA from 1 species
CCCUUAGACGUUCUGGGUCGCACGCGCGCUACACUGACCAGUGCAACAAGCAUCCGUCCUUGGCCGACAGGCUCGGGCAAUCUUUGAACGCUGGUCGUGAUGGGGAUAGACUUUUGCAAUUUUUGGUCUUCAACGAGGAAUUCCUAGUAAACGCAAGUCAUCAACUUGCAUUGAUUACGUCCCUGCCCUUUGUACACACCGCCCGUCGCUCCUACCGAUGAAUCGUCCGGUGAAGUUCAUGGAGUAGUGGUUGUUCCAUCCGCUGUCGAAGUGAAAUAAACCUCAUGAUUUAGAGGAAGGAGAAGUCGUANCA